AACAGAAUGCCCAGAUUCCUGUGACAGCUUGAAAGAAGCGCCCCAAGCGGAGAUACACCAUGCCAUGAUGAUAGCAGUGGCCCUUGCCCAUCGUCACCGUCAUCAUCACCAUCAUCAUCACUCCUCGUCCGUCAAACACAUCCACCACUACGAGUCGGGAUCAUCGGGAUCUUCAGGAUCUUCAUCCUCCGGAUCAUCGGGAUGCGGUUGUGGAGGAAGCUCCGGAUCUUCUGAAUCCUCAGAUGAAGAUUACCCCAUCCCAAUCCCAAUCCCAAUCUCCAGCGGUGGCGGAAGCAGCGGCAGCAGCAGUUCCUCCGACGCCGCCCUUCUACAGGCUCUCAUCAACGCUGGCAAAUAAAUGAAACGACUGCACACGUCCUCAACGGUCCUGCGUUUUUUAUGUUGUUACUGU